rnacentral:rRNA from 1 species
UGCAUUUUAGUAAAUAGCCGCAGUAUUUUGACUGUGCUAAGGUAGCAUAAUCAUUAGUCUCUUUAUUGGAGGCUGGUAUGAAUGGUGAGACGAGAAAAUAGCUGUCUCUAAAAAAAUAAUUGAAUUUCAUUUCUAAGUGAAAAAGCUUAGAUAAUUUUGGAGGACGAUCAGACCCUUUGGAGCUUUACUUAGGCAGAUACUUAAAUUUAUUUAACAUAAUUAACUGUAUGUCUGGGUUUUGUUGGGGCGACAGAGAGUAAAAGAUAACACUCUUUUUUAUUAACAUAAUUAAAUGAAUAAAUGAUCCUUGACGUGAGAUUAAAAGACUAAGUUACCCUAGGGAUAACAGCGUAAUCUUUUUAGAGAGUUCAUAUCGAUAAAAAGGUUUGCGACCUCGAUGUUGGAUUAAGAAAUUAGCAAGGUGCAGAAGUUUUGCUGGAAAGUCUGUUCGACUUUUAAAAUCUUACAU